UUUAUUUUUAGAUUGGUAUCCUUCAAUCCAUUGGACUGUUUAAAAAGAUUAGCUGGUCUAUGGAUAGUGGAAGGAAAGGAACUAUUCUACAACCAGCUAGCUCAUGUUACCAUCAUGUGCCCCAUGAGGUUCAAUAAAUUCCCUCUGGACAGCCAUAUUUGUU